rnacentral:rRNA from 1 species
ACGGCCGUACCAUGCUGAAUAUACCGGUUCUCGUUAAAUCACCGAAGUCAAGCAUCAUCGGGCGCGGUCAGUACUUUGGAUAACCACCUGAACACCGCGUGCCGUU